GGCACGGUGGCGCAGUGGUUAGCACUGCUGUCUCACAGCAAGAAGGUCAUGGGUUUGAAACCGGCCUGGGGCC